rnacentral:rRNA from 1 species
UACGUAGGGGGCAAGCGUUGUCCGGAUUUAUUGGGCGUAAAGAGCGUGUAGGCGGCCUGUCAGGUCUGCUGUGAAAACUCGAGGCUCAACCUCGAGAUGUCGGCGGAAACCGUCUGGCUAGAGUCCGGAAGAGGAGAGUGGAAUUCCUGGUGUAGCGGUGAAAUGCGCAGAUAUCAGGAAGAACACCCGUGGCUAAGGCGGCUCUCUAGUACGGUACUGACGCUGAGACGCGAAAGCUAGGGGAGCGAACGGG